rnacentral:rRNA from 1 species
CCGCGAAUCGCCCUUCGGGGCGCAGCAGGCGCGAAAACUUUACAAUGCCGGCAACGGCGAUUAGGGAACCUCGAGUGCCAGGUUACAAAUCUGGCUGUCGUGAUGCCUAAAAAGCAUUGCAUAGCAUGGGCCGGGCAAGACCGGUGCCAACCGCCGCGGUAACACCGGCGGCUCGAGUGGUAACCGUUAUUAUUGGGUCUAAAGGGUCUGUAGCCGGCCGGGUAAGUCUCUUGGGAAAUCUGGCAGCUUAACUGUCAGGCUUUCAGGAGAUACUGCCUGGCUCGAGGCCGGGAGAGGUGAGAGGUACUUCAGGGGUAGGGGUGAAAUCUUGUAAUCCUUGAAGGACCACCAGUGGCGAAGGCGUCUCACCAGAACGGACCUGACGGCCAGGGACGAAAGCUAGGGGCACGAACCGGAUUAGAUACCCGGGUAGUCCUAGCCGUAAACGAUACUCGCUAGGUGUCGGCCACGGUGCGACCGUGGUCAGUGCCGUAUGGAAGCCGUGAAGCUAGCCACCUGGGAAGUACGGUCGCAAGGCUGAAACUUAAAGGAAUUGGCGGGGGAGCAC